ensembl:lncRNA
UUACUGUUCCUUGUGCUCUGUUUCCUUCACUACAUUGCUUUGUUUUAUCCCUCUGUGGUGCCCAGUUCUUCUUCUGCUUCUCAAUUCUCUAUUCAGCUUUGAGCCUUUCACCCUGUGGGAGAACAGUCAGCAACGAGGAGUCUAUGAACAAGUGAGCUGCUAUUCAACCUGAAUGCUCUGUCUUCUCCAGAACAAGGUGUGGUUACCGAGAAUUUCAACAAUACCGAGCAAUAGAUACCCACUUAUUUAACUAGCUGCUCACUCGCUGCAUUCCUGGGUCUGAGAACAGUUGGAUAAGAGUCUAUGCACAUUGAAAUAACAAAUCUGAUAGCUGCAGAAGAGUUCUUUUGACAGCCGGACUCCACCAGAGAAUCUACAGAUGGACAAGGGAUUGGUAAAACUCGGUGUUGCCCCACUGGGAUGUGUGAGACUCCUUAGAGUGUUUGUAUUCUACAUGUUAUUCUUUGCCUUGGAGCACUCGGGAAAAGGCCAUGAUGAUGGCUGUGAGUGUAACAAUGAUCCUGCAUGACCUGCGAUCACUCAAAGAGCAUGCUCCUAGAACUAUCAUCUAUCAUGAAAAAGUAAUGGCAUUCUGAGGACAAGAGAUAAACUAAGGGAAUGAACACAAACCACCCUCAGCAGAAAGAUAAAAUGUCAAUUAUCUGUUACUGUCUCCCACUCCAUCCCCUUACAAUGCUAAAUUCUAACGUUUAAGAAAGCAAACACUUGUUUCAUUUCUCAAUUUUAUGCCAGUCCCAACAAUACUGUACUCUGAUUGUUGAUGUUCACAAGUAGCUUGUUCCACAUUUCAAGAUUUUUCUCACGUAGGCUAGGCUGGAGCUUGUCAGUGCGUGUUGUCACUGCAGAACCAGCUCGGCAUCUUUGGGAGGAUGUUUUGGAAUGUACAACUUGUUAUGCACAUGGGUAGUGUUCAUAUCAGCAACCAGCCUGAUGCAUAGACCUUAAGGGUAGUAGAAGGCCCAAGACUCCAACAAGGAAAGGUUAGUUUAGUGUGAAAGUAAUCUGGAAGGCAAUGUGGCUUCCAGAUUGCCCAGGGCUCAGCAGCCAAUGAAUAAAAAAUGGACCAAGCACAGAAGGAAGCUGAAGAAGCUUGGGCACAGAGUAAUAUCUCAUCUGAAGGAUAUUCUGCUGCUGUUGCUCUGCCUAUGCCAAUGUAAUCCUCAAGCUCUGUGAGAGACUUUUCAUGCUCAUGUAGUGUCUUCAGAGUUAAUACUUCUGGAUUCAAAAUUGGAACUAAGUAAAACCAGG